AGUAUUGAGGAGACAUAAACCUGUUUUGGUGCAUCCAAAGGAGGGCCAUAAAAAUGAUCCAAAGGAUGGAAUAAGAUGGAACAACUCUCCAAUGAGGACAGGCUGAGAGAGCUGAGGCUGUUCAUCUUGGAGAAGAGAAGGCUUUGAGGAGAAAAUGAAGGAAGAUAUCAACGUUGCAACAGUUACUUUCCAUCAACAAUUGCUCAUUUAUUUUACCUCCUACAGCUGUGGUAGUAUGCACAACACAGUGGUUUCUCCUCGGCAUCAGUUCAAAAGAAGCUCAAAAACAAAUGAAAGAAAAUACGAGUUCCAUGUCUGAAGUGAGGAGAUUAAGGGAUACUGGACAACUCAUCUCUGAAGAAACUUCAGAGAGCUUUAUUUUUGGCAGCUGGACGGUUGUUCCAAUAGUGCUGUGCAGCUUGCUGGAUGGAGGAGGAUAUUGACUGAUGUGACACCUGCUUGCUGUGAGUCUUACUCUGGUUCCUCUGCAACUUCUCUACAGUGUUACAAAAUAAAGUUGAUGGCACAGGACCUCAGUUUUGAAGUUAAUGUUUGGUGCCUGGGACAUCUCAAAAUUCAAGAGCUGAACUUUUUGGGAUGAAAAUCUUCGGAGAGAAUCAGGCAUUGAUCUAUUAUUUUCUUAGUCAGAGCUUCCACCAUGAGGCUGCCAAAGAAAUAAAUGUCACCUUCUUCACUUUCUUCAGAUGCAGUUUUUGGAAGUGAUAACUGGAACUGCAGUCUGUGAUAUAUAAAAUAUAAGUGUACAUUGGAUUGAGCUCCCGAAAAGGAUUUUGAUCUGCCAGCUCUUCCCAGAAAGAGACUGAGAACCGACAGGAGGAAAUCGAAUGCACUUUAAAUCUGAAAUCUGUCAUCAGAGUAGCAGUCUUCACAAACUCAACUUUUCAAAGAAGGAAAUUUUCAGAUUCUAACUUCUUAUUGGAAAGCUGCUGGAGACCUUUUCUUGCUAUGCUGUUAUUUGGAGUGAAUAAAGAAUCUUUUCUACUUUCAGCUCAGAUCCUUGGAGACUCAUCAAGUUUUUGAUUAUGUUGUAUGCCUCUGCUCUGCCAUGAAUCUUUAGGAUAGGAAAGAAAGAUUUCUGCUCCCCACUGGAGAAGCAUCUCCCCUCCCUAAUCCCUUCUGCUUCUUUAUCCAUCUGGGAAAAAAUCAGAUGAUCACCCUAUACUGAUGUCUGAGACUAAUAGUUAAACUGGGAAUGUUUCAUCUGAAAAAUUAACAAUGUGAAUACUUAACGUAGAAAGUCCUCCAAGUCUGCAAAAAGCUUGAUGUAGUUAGAGGCCUCAGUAAAGAAUGAAGAGAAAUGGAUAUAACUGUGUGUGAAUUUAGCAUCUGACUACACGUCCAGUCUGACAGAAAGGUAUGAUAUCCUGGAAAGCAGAUUUCACAACCUUAUUUUCUUUCUGUUUCCUCUCAAAACUGCAAGGAGUAUUUUCUUGGACAACUCUUGAGGCAGAGCCAAUUAAUUGUUAUCUACUUAUAAAGUGGUUUGAGUUAGAGUUUCUGUUAACAGCAUGGGGGGUUAAAUGAUAGGGAAUGGCACAACUGAACUUAUGAACAACUAAUAGAAACUAAUUCACUUGGGAGUUAUGGACAGCUUGGACUAGAUGAUCCUUGCCAGCUGACUUACUUCUCAAGAUGGAAAACGUCUGGACUAUUGCUUUAUACUGCUGGGUCCAGUAAGAAGAACUUUCAGAAUGAGAAAAUGAGCCUUCCUACUUCAAAAUUUGCCCUACAUCAGGGGAAGUCCCAAACUGACUGAACUAUAACACCAUAAGCAGCUAUGUAAUACAAAUCUGUCCCUAUUAAAUACCAGCAGGUAUUUAAACACUCUUUCAUAGCUGCCUUACAUCUAAACUUCGUUUGAAUGGCUGCACUAACGUAAGUGUAGCUUCUCAGCUGAAGACUAAUAAGGUUUCUGUUGUAUUACAAGACAACUCCUAUAGUACUCAUCUUUUCUCCAGAUCUAUGUAUGUCUUAACAUAAGUGUUGAAGACCUUUCCCUCUACUUCUAAUAGAGUUCUAACCCCUGGCAGAUGGGGUUCCAAAACUAUAUCACAACUCUACUUUUACCCUGCAGAGUUCUAUCUGUCUGGUAUGGACUUCAUGCUGUUAAGCAGAGGCCUUCUUUGCUUGCAGUGGCAUUCUGUCUGACAGAAGACCUUUCUGUGGUGCAAAAAGAACUUUAGGAUUCUAGCACUGCAUUGUGAAUAUGAUGCUGACUGUUAAUUCUUCUGUCUAAUCUGUGUCUUCAAUGGGAGUAAACUAUCUGUGUUUUUUAAAUGAGAAAUAAGAAAACAUCUGCUUGAAAAACAAGUAAGCUUUCUACUUAAAGUGGGUAUUUAUUAUCUCAGUAUAAUAUGCAAAUGUACCAUUCCUAAUGAAAACAUACCCUAAAUCAAAAUUUUCCUUAAAGCAAGUUCUCAUAUACAUUUUUUUUUUUCUGAUUGGGGAUGGGAAAAUGAUCAAGGCAAUUUUUUUUUCUUUUUAUCUCUGCAAUGUUUAUAACUCUUCACAAAACUGUUGGCUUCCCAAUUCCUUUGUGUUUCCCUAGUCAGUACAUAAUGACUCAAAAAGUUCAUCUUAUUUAGAACUGCUUAUAAAUGAAAGGGAAGUUCAGAAUUUUAGUCAUCAGCUAGCAGUACUUAACUGUUUUUAAAGCUUGCAAAGGUCCUUAAUGAUAGCAAUACUAUUUCCACCUUUAUCACACCAAGUUUUUAAGGCACAAAUUCUUACUGACACAUGUUUUCAUUCCUUCUUCAUCUCCUGAAACGUCAACUAAGCUCCUUGUAGAUUGAUACUGAGGAUGAGAUUAAAAACAGGAAAAGGUGGUUUACUUUAAAGCUGUUGAGUGUUUCUGAUGGAAUGUUAUGUUAAAGAAAAAAUUGUGCAUCAAGGAGAGGAAAAAAAUACAGUGAUAUGGCAGAAAGAAAAGGUGAAUACCUACUAAAUUAGCCAGUAAAGACAAUUAUCUUGUUCAGAAAUUAGCUGCAUAUUCAGUGCUUAUUUUUUUCUGAUUGUUCCUCAGAAUAUUCCCUAACUGUUUUUGCUUCAUUGCUGGCCCAACUUCUCUCACCUUAUUUUGAAGAGUACACACACACAAAAAAUCAUUUCUAGCAAAGCAAUCAGGAACAAAGGCCUAAGUACUUCUUCUGCCACUUGCUGAAACAAUUAGACCAAAUGUGAGCUAUAUUCUUAACAGGUAGUUUUAAGGUAGCUUUGCUGUUAAUGUUGCCAAGUAAUGAGCACUAUUUAAUUUAUUCUGAUGCUUCAUGGUUUGCCACAAAUAAGGAAAUCAGUUUGUUGGGUUUUUUUUGUUUUUUUUUUUUUGAAACUAUUAAUUGAUUACAUGACUUCCAUUUGCGGCAUCAUACAGUCAUUUAUAGUCAGUAAUUAUUAUCAUAACUUUGCUAUGGGACACAUAACACUACUUAAAGAGUCUUAAAGAGUGAGUUGCAGUAAGUAUAUGCUUAGCAGAUAAGCAUGACUGAAAAGAUAAUUAUCCACAGAUUAUUUACUGACAUAUGUGAAUAUCGUAUGCUGUUGUGAUAAUCAAUUAGACUAGUUAAGCAUCCUCUUUCUUGAUUUCCAAUUUGAGAAUAUCUGCUGAAAUAUUUGAUAUUUCAGUAGAGUUGGUAACAGCAUAAGUGAAUGUUUAUUAACAGAUUUCAAUUUUUAUAAUAGAAAAGAAAUAUAUGUAUAUUUUUAAAAUAUAUUACUGAAUGUGAAUAUUUCACAAGAGUCUUUGUCACUUUGUAGGAGGAACUGAUACGUUUCUCAUGCUAUUUCUGUACUAAAGUAUGAGAGUUUGAGUGCUUAGGUGCAUAUGACUGGCAGUCCAAAGAGUUCUGUUCUGUAUCUGUCUCCAGACAUGCCAUGAGCUCCUUCAGAAGCUAUAUGACUCUUCUUUGUCAAAAUCUUACCAGCCACAGUGUGAUUUUUGGGCCUUACGGCAAGUGGUAUGUCAGGCCAGUGAAGGAAUCUGUUGUUGGUGUGAAUGUUAAGGAUGAAUGUGAGGAAAGACUUGGUCAUAAGGUUAUGAUGUCCAGAAGAUUUCAAGAUCUGUGUAAGAUAGAUCCAAAAGACAAAGUAAUCACAAGCAGGUAGUCUUUUCACCAGAGACUUUUGUUGUGCACCUGAGUAUGAGAGUACAGCAAAUGAUUAGCUGCUUCCUCAUGUAAUAUACUAGAAUAUCUCUUGUAUUCAUCUAAACAGGACAGUAUUGAGGUUGACAGAAUAAAUGUCCAAUGAAAUAACAUAUGUCUUAUAUCCAAUGAAAUAAUGUGUCAUAUUUCACCAUUGUAGAAGGCUAAAGAUAAGAAACUGAGGCAAAUUCUUAUUUUAUAAGAGUGAUUUUAAUGAAAACAUCUCCUUGAAGGCUAGAAGGCACAUCAAAUGAUUCCCAAUUCAAACAUCUUUCUGCUUUCAUCUACUUAUUUGGUUUGUCCCGAGGAAAAGCCAGUUUUAUAAGAUAUCAAGAUUCAUUCUAUCCUUGAAAGCAGAAGGACUCAAAACAACUGAUUGUAUAAUUUCCUGUGUUUUGUUCAAUAACGUCAACUAGCUCGCGUGUUAGCUGCUUUCAUAACAACAGUCCCUAAUAACUAAUUAAUGGACAAUUUCUCUUUACAGUAUUUGUGCAGCAUGUUUUCAAGUAUGACAAAUGAGCAGGAAGAAAUUGAGCUAGGAACAUCCUAGCUCCUAGGCUGUGUGUCCUGAUCAUGCCCCAGGUGUGUAUGAAAUGAGAACUCCUUCUAGGUGUGUACCAGUUUUCUGUUUCCUUUUCUGCCCCGUGUCCAUCUCCAUCGAUCAUCUCACACUCUGUGUUCCAGUAUUCUUAAAAUUAAGCCUAGGAAUAUGUGCUAGAACAGAGCCAAGUCAUGCAAGAUAAACAACUCCCUGCAAAUGUAUGCUUUAUUUAAAGGUCAGAAUUAGUAAUCAGCCCUUGCAGAUUUCGAAGAUUUUUAUCCUGGCAUGCUAUAGCAUACAUUUCAGGCUCCAGCUGAACUAUGAGCAGACAAGCUCAGGCCUUUUUAAAGAUUUUUUUAAGAUUUUUUCAAAAUCUUUAAAAAUGUGAAAACUCAGCAAGAAAAUCAAUGUUCAGUUCUGCCUAGAUUUCAAUUGAAGCUUCAUGUACACUUCAUUUCAGCAAGGUAAUCCUAAAGGGAUAAAAGUGUAGUGAUUCUUUUGUCACAACAAUUUCAAGAUCAGGCAGAAUAGAAUAAACAUGUCUUGGACUGUGCUGCUUUCUGACUGCUAAAACCAAAAUCUUUUAAUCCAGCCUUAGUGUCAAACUGAAGAAGGGUCUUCCUUUAAAAUCUUUGCUGCUUCUGCCAGCUUUUUCCUGCUCUUGUAUUCCAGCACCACUUCCAUGUUUUCUAUGUUAAAUGUAGCCUUACCCCAUUCUUUUCCAUUUCUCAGACACUAAAGUACAGAAGCACAAUUGCAACUUCUUUGUCUUGUGUAACUCCCAGAGAAGAUCUAUCAGCAUAAAUUUUGUCCAGUCUUACCCAGUCUCUUACUGGCUAUUAAAAUUGCUGAUGACUUCCCACUUAUUGCACAGACGUGCUGAAAAGGAAACGGUGAUACAUCCAUCUUCAUUCUAUAAACCAAGAACAUUGUUUUUGACACUUUCACAGAGAUGUCUCAAUUAUGACUUUUGUCUAGAGACAGGUUUUACUACUAUUUUUUAGUAACGGACUAUUUCUUUAUUUCUGAAGACUUGACAUGAUUUUGGUGACCUUAAAGGAAUUGUCUUAGCAGGAAACUCCAAACAUCAGUCACCAGAUUAUUAGAUAUUUUUAUCAGAACAAAGAUGCUACAGUUAGUAAGCUUCUUCAUAACAGCCUGAAAAUAUAUUUUACCUUAUGUUGGAAGUCCUAAAAUGAUGGGGGAUGUCAUGUCACUCUCUCAAUGAAAGUAUAAAUUAGGAGAGGGCAAUACACGCAUAAACUCUAUUGCUCAGUUUGAAAACACUCAUAACUGAGGUUUGAAUGAAAGUAAUACAAUGAUGUCAUGUUUCUCAUUGUGUACCAAUGGAACACCAACAAAAUGGUAGUAGUAUGGAGAUUUCAGUAACAAACCGUACAUCAUAUUUCAGAUUCAAGUUUUGUGUGGUAUUAAUUAAUAGAAAGAUGUAAAAGUUUUUCUUCAACAACUGAUUUCUGUAGCAUUAGCUCUUAUAUUUUCCAUUAGGUUUCAACAUUUUUGUUCACUGACUGAACCAAAAUGACACAUUACUCACUAUGCAUUAGAACAGGUGGAAAAUAUUGCUUGUCUAUCCAUUUAAAUAAGCUUAAGUUUUCUUGUUUUUUUGUUGCUGUUUUUCCUUAAGAAAAUUCUUCUGGUCCCAUUAUUAAAACAAUUAUUUGAUCAUUUCUUUCUCUCAAUGAUUUGCUUUAGCAUCUCACAAUGACUUGUUUCAGCUUCUCCCAAUGAUUUGCCUUGGUGAUACUUAAUUCUUGAGCUGCAUUUGUGAUAACUACUAUUACAGGCAAUGGCAAAACUUCAAUUUGUUCUUCAUCCUUCUUCUUCAGAAAGGAGAUAUUUGGAAAAAAGUGAUGUGUCCAUGUGUGAGCAUAAAGAUGAGAAGAGAUGGAAUAUAAUUCAUAUACAAAUAAUUCAGCCUUCAGAUCAGCUCACUGUCCUUAUUCAUCCAAGCCUGGAUAUCCCAAGCUUGGAUAUCUUUAGAAUACUUUUAUUUUUAUGUCACUAGAGCUAGGAUGCCACAAAUCUAACCAGUAUAGAUUGACCAUGAAUAAAUCUAAGAUAAUAAAUAUAGGGUUUCUAAUGAUCAAAGAAGAGAGGUUUGUGGUGGAAAGAGAGUAGUUCUUUUUAUAUAAUUUUUGAUAAGCUUAUGUCAGUGUUAUUGUCAUACAUGAGAAGGAUCAGAAGAUGAGCUGUCCAUUACAAGGUCUUGAGCUGAAGCUUAGAACCAUGAAAGAAAGCAGUGGUAAGCAUUGUGUCUAAACAUAUUGCCUUUGCAAGUUAGUCCUACACUGUCUUUCCUAUGUAGACACUGCUCUAAAUAACUGAACAUGCAGGAUGGGAGUUCAUGUAAUUUCUGUAACACUGUGGAGAAGACUUGGGCCUCAACCAGGUCAGAGCAAUUGUGAAAAAGACUGAUGAAACAUAAGUUCCUUCUGGUCCUAUUGUCCUUUGCUUGAUGUGCUUGAUGCUCAGGGACACCACCUGUGAAAUCAUAUAUUAUAAAUACAAGAUUUCUCAGUUAAAUGCAGACUAAACUAUUUUAAAAUGUGUAGUCAACAAGAGAUUACAGAAUCCCAGAGAUUGCCUUUUCUAUCAAGAAUGUUGAAGUUCUUUAUGACAACCUCUUCCUUAAUCAGUUCCUCCUUUUUUUAGCAUGUGUGAAUGCCCUUUGCAAAUGUCCAGAGCUACUUUAUUUCUUUCAAUGUCAGUACGAUUCUGCAUGCUGUUUGCAAUCUAGUGACUGGAUUUCUUUUAUCACAUUCAAAAUACGAAAGAAAUUAUUAAAAAAAAUAUAACAUGCUCUAUAGAAAAUAAAUUCUAGCAUUCAAAAUUUAAUUGCUGUCAGCUGCUCUUCCUCUUUCACUGCUCACUAUAAAGAAAUAGAGUUUAGACAGUCACAAAGGAGAAAAUAUUGCCCAGGAAAUUUUUGCCUAAAUGUCUACCUACAGUAGCAUACUCAUGCCUCUAUUUUAUUCCUUGCCUGCAGCAAGCAAAUAGAUGAAGAGUAUUAACUGAUUGAAUCACUAUCAUACAUUUUUCUCUGUCAAAGACCUUCACUGGCAUUUCAAUUAAUUGAUCUGGGCAGAUUGUCUGUGCCUGCUAAAGACUAAUUUCCUUAAAGCCAGCAUAUCUUGUUCAGUAAAGGUGCUGUUGUCAGCUAGGCUGGAGAAGUACCAACACAAUCCAAACACACAUUUUAUACAAGUGACACCAAUUUCUUGCCAGAUGCUAAUCUUGAUGGCUUGUUUCCUUCCUCUCUUAGAGAUCUCAGUGACAGACUAUUACAGGGUAAGCUCUUCCCUUCAUUUACUUCUAAAAUAUGCUAACAUAUUUCCUCUUGUAUCUCAGUCCUGAUAAGCUGCAAGAGGUUUUUUGUUUGUUUGUUUGUUUUUAAUAACAAGGUAGAGAUGGUUAGGGAGUAGCUGCGUUUGUUUUCCAAAGAUUGAAAUUCAUUUUUUUCCUGCCUUGUAAAUAGCAUCUUUUUGCAUUCUUUCCCUGCAAGAGAAAUAAGAUUCAUGUCUGUUCUAAGGGGAGUACCUAGCUGGAUGUUCACAUGUUUUAUUAGAAAUUUUUCAAGGAAAACAAUAUAUAACUCUCUGACUAAGAGUAGUCAUCACUAGUUAAACAAGAUUUGCAGCAAAAAAAACAUAUACUAAGUACCUUGGUCUGUCUCAAAGAUUUGUUGGAAGAUAAGGAAUGAUUUGAAAGAUAAACAUUGAAGUGGCAAAUGAAAAUACAGUCAGAGAAUAGGAGAGGACGCUGUUCAUGGCGCAGGAACUUGGUUUUCCUUGGGACGUGGGGAAUGUAUUCUACACCCAUACUGUGUUCUCAGCCAGUGGCUGUGGCUACAUGCUGCCAUGUGAGCAGGAAUGCAGCAAAUCAGAACUUGUACUGAUGGGGUGAUUUGGGGUGUCCCAGGUGGCAAGUGCCAAGUAACCAUACGUAAUAAGAAGGAGAGUUGAUCUCUUUUAUGUGAAAUAUAGGUGCUGAGGAUUACAGCUAAAUGAAAUUGAAGUGCUGCCUUGACCUUUUCCUGUUUCAUAGAAACUGGCUUAAUUAACAUCCUCUGACAUCUUACCUAAAAAUCAGCCCUUUCUUUUCAGUAUAUUGAAAUGCAGUAUGUAUUCCUUUACAACCAGGUUUCUUCAUGAAUACCAAAUGCUUUUCCAUUUUCUGAAAGCUACUGGCCUACAUUCACCUUCAACUGAAUGCAGCAUUUGGGCAUCUUAAACAGUAAGCCUUUUUUUCUUCGAAGGAAUUUUUUCCUAUUUGUAUCCAUUCUCUGAAGCAAGGAUGCAAAAAAGUUCCUUUCACAUACAUUUUUCCUGUGCUAUAAACUGCUGGUGCUGCAAUUACUGAUGUAGAUUGAAUGUAGUGGCAGAGGUUUGUGACUGGGUAUUCCUAAACUUUGCCUUUACUUCCCAAAAAUAUUUUGACUGAUAUUUUUACACUAUUUUUAGAGGGCUGGAUUUGAUCUUGAUGUAACUGAAAUUUCUCUAGCAGCUGCAUUCAUUCAUUCUCUGGCGUUUGUUUCCAGUUCCCCCCUGGACAGGCAUCUCUUUCUUUACAGGAAUGCCCCAGCCCUUUGCAAGUUUCACGAAAAGUUUAAAGACAGGCAAAAAUAAACAAACAGAACUCAUCAGAACAAAAAACAACAACAAAAACACAUGGCUCGGAAUUUGUAACAAUUCUCUUCCUAAUUCUUUGAACUGUGCAGCUAAGACUAAGUCUUCACUGGCACAACUACUUCAGUAUAUCAUCUGCUGAUCAAGCCAAAGUGUAGUCUUUGUGACUGCUUGUUUUAUUAACUUAUUUGUUAUCUUUAAAAGGUAGAAGGAGGUGCAAGUAAGGAUCAUGGUUUGCCAUGACUUCUUAUACAUUAAAGUAUACAGAAUUACAAUUUAAUUUAAUUUAGCAGAAUUAACAGGAAGUACACAGACAGCUAUUUAAAAUCACAACUGGUGAAAAAUAUUGUAUCAUUUCAAGAAUACUUCGGGAAGAUAAUUUUUGAGAUAUUUCUAAAACUGUUUUUAAACAGAUGCCUUAUUUUAAUGGAAGUUAUUUAGAUUCUGAUCAUGCAGCCUUUUAGUGCUAAUAAUGCAAUAUGCUAAGCAGCAAUAUUUAUCCGAAGAGCUGACAGUACUUAUAUAUUAUUUCUGGUAUUGCAUUUAGCAUGUAAAUAAAAAGUUCCACAAAGAAGUCCUAGAGUCAUAACUUCCAAACAAAAAAAAAUGUAUGUUUCAUUAGCUGUAGCAAUAUCCAAAGCAUUUUCUGCAAAUGGGUAACCAAAUCUUAAUUCUUGUCACUUAUAAUACACAUUAAUUAUUUAAAAUUUAAUCAUUUUGUCCUAAGAAUCCUACAUGCAGGACUUUGUCAUUGAGGUACCUGAAUCUAUUCAAGGACUCCUUAUUUGGACUUAUUGAAAUAUAUGAUAUGCAGAUUGUGCUACAACUCUUUUAAUUGAUUCAGAGCACUUUCCUAAAUGUCAGCUGCUUCAUACCAGGGGAAAUACUGUAAUAAUAAUUAUAGUUGUGGAACACAUCCCUCUGAACAGAGACUGUAUUUAAUAUUUACUGGAGAGUAGCAGUACAUACUCCAUUCCAAGAAGAAGCCAUGACUUUUUUUCAGGGAAACAGUACUUCUGACAAUUAUAGUAAGGUUAUGUUUAUGGAGCUUACACAUUUUUAUAGUAUACAUGCUUUUAUAUUCACUGCUAAUAAUAAUUAUUGAGCUAUGCUAUUAAUAUUGUAUCACUUAUUUGAAGAAUCCUGAUUGAUACAGUAAAAAAAAUACUGGAAAUUAUGCUUUCAUUGUGUGAAUUUUUGUGGUUAUUAUAAACAUUUAUCCAUUCAACAGGUACAAAAGCAUGCUAUGGAUUUGUUUAGAAAUCACUUUUACAUAUGUUAGCUGUGACACCUCCAAAAUACUGGCUUUUAACUCAGUAGAGAUCCAAGUAAUCAAAGAAGCAGAAAGAGAAAUAAAUGUAAACAAAGGAAGGAUAGAACCAAAGUGGUAGCUAUCAUCCUGGAUACACAACAGGUCCUUUCAGUCUUCAGAAAUAAGAGGAAAGUUUACAGAAAGCUGAAACUAGGUCAAAUUCCAGGGGAAAAGAAUGAAGUAAAAAUACAUAGGGACAAAAGCAGGGAGUACAGGGCACAAAAGAUAAAGCUAAGAAAGAAUGCAAAAGACAUGAUAAAAACAAAAAGAAGGAUAGUAUAAGCAAUAGGAGGAAAUGUUGGAAAAUAUACGAUGUAUUUAUUAUAUGCUGUAGAAAAAUGUUAUGCUACAGUUAAAAAGAGAGGGGAAUUUAUUGGGAAAUGGAAUCAAGAAGGUCAAUAGAUAUAUGACACUCCUUGAAACGCCAUCUUAAAAGAACGGAUGGCAUUUGCAAUGAGGUGACUGAUGCCAGUUUUAUUAUUAUAGCCUGGAGUAGGAAAAGCAGAGGGAUUACUGAACACCUAGAAAAGUCAUAUAUUCUGAAAUUUUUCAAUACAAUGAACUUUAUCACCUAUCAUUUGUCACUAAAACAAUCAGCUUUUAGGGUUACUCUAAAGAGCUCAGAAUAUGGUGAGAUGACUUGAUGAUUUGUCCCUUUCAAAAGAGAAACAAAAUAAUUCUUCUCCAGAACAAAAAGAAAAACACAACCUGCAAAACAUAAUUGUAAAUUAAUAAGAUGAACUUCAUUUCCUAGAAAAAAUGCUAGGAACAAAUGAGUCCCUAAAAGAUGAUCAACAGCUAACAUGAAUUAAAAAAUCUUACGAAAUAAAUCCUUCUUACUAUUAAAGAAAAACAGAAUUCAUGAGUAGAGAAGCAGCAGCAAAUAUCUAGAUUUUAAUUUGAUACUGUUUUCUGGGAGAUUUUCAUCAGCAAGCAUGGGACAUAUGAUCAAGAUGAUGCUAUUAGAGGUUGGCUAUGGCACUGGAAUGGGAUGUGUUACUGGAGUAGAACUCAAAUCACUUGUGGUAAGCUAAAGAAAUGGCCUGGAAAAUGCAAGAAGUAAUUCAGUAGAGAAAAUUGUAAAGUUUUCUAUUUAGGUGUGAAAAAUGAGUGUCAUAAACACAAAAUAAGAAAAGUCUGAUUUGGUAACAUUGUUACAGAAAAGGUCCUUGAGGAAAAAAUUUGUGACAACAUAAAUAUCAAUCAAGCGUGAAAAAAAUGAAUAAAUGGUAUCUAUAAAUAUCAUUUUAUAUAGCAUUAUAUAUUUUUAUAUAAAAAUAAAUUUUAUCUAAAUUAUUGUCCAAUUUUGAAUGUCAUACUUCAAGAAAAAUGUUGAUCAGCUGGAUGUAGUCCAGAGAAAAAUAACCAGAGGUUUCAAAAACAUAAAAAAACAACAAUAAAAAAAUGAAUUGGCUGUGUUUAUUUAAAAUCUAAGGGAGAUAAGGCUACAGAGGAGAGUAAGAAUAUAUUUCCAAAGCAUAAAAGACUUCUGAUAAGAGGAAAGGAACAAUUUGCUCUUUAUCACGUACAGAAAAGAAAUGUGCUUAAAUGGCUGAAAGAAAUAUAUGUUUUAGAUGACAGGAAAACCUUCUUUAACAAUAAAGAUAGCAAUACAUUAGAAUAAAUUGCCCCAGAGGCUGCAGAAAUAAGUCAAAGUUUUUGAGAAUAGGUUUGUAGGGAAACUGCUAGGUCACUGCUUGAACCAGUAAUGGAGCUGCUGGCAAAGGAGCAGAGUCAACCCUGAGAGCACAGGUGGAAGCAAUUCACCUGUGCAACCGGAAGGGGUGGAGUCAGGCUGAACCCCUCCCUAACCUCAUUGAAGGGUUGGGUCCCACAAGGGAAGUUGUGUCUUUUGGAUUAUUUGGCAAGCCCUUGGAGAAAGAUGCAGGCAUUUACACCCACCCAUGGGAAGCAAGCACUGAAGGAAGUGUAGGUGGAGGCGCAACCCGAUGCUCUUGCAGCAUGCAGGCAAGGAGAAGCAGAAGUUUGCUCCCAGUGGUGGGAAACUGAAAACACGUGGGGAUUGAAGUACAAUAUCAAGGCUGGUUCUGUGGCAGGAUGUGCAGACCGCUGGGCUGCUUUCUCUGCAGAAGUGCAAGGGGAGAUGGAGGCCAUCCGCAUAAAGGGGACUGCACACAAUACCCUUGGUGCCCACCAUGAGGUGAAGACUCAACCAGACCCUACACAUGAGCAUCACAGCAUAUGCAGACAUAAAGGAGGAGGAGUAGAACAAGCUGGGCAUCAGUGUGCAUCUGCAGUGAAGGCAACAGGAGCACUAUCUCUACAUAAUUAACUUAAAGCAGAAUUGGCUUUUUAUGGAUGUUUGGCAACACUUACAAAUAAUGGUGCAAUAAUUAAAGAUGCAUUACAAAGAAUCUCAGCUGGAAGCAGACUUUUCAUCACACCCUAAUACCCCAUUAGAUCUUCCAGGAAUAAAUCUUUUUUUUUCUACAGUUCUGUGGGUCACAAAUUAAUUAAACUGACUGAGACACACCUCUUCUCUUGUUUCCAAAAAAUAGUGUAAUGCAGUGCAGAUUAAUGUUGAAAUGAAUACCUUCUGCAUUUUUCAGCAAUUACCUCUUCUUUUUCUUUAAUAAAAUUGGGUAUUUUAUUAUAAUUGAAAUGAGUUGAAAGGGUUGAAUUGCUAAAUUUCAUUAAAAGUAAUGAGGAACUUAGCUUUGGUUAUCUUAAACAUAUAGUCUGUGAAGUUUUCCCUCUUGGGAAGGCGUAGUUUGCCACACACAAACACAUUAGUUUUUCUGCUUGUGGAACAUUUUUUGUGGUAAUCUGUGGACCACCCCACUUGCAGAUAGGAAUAAUCUCAAAGCCUAAUCUCAAAGACAGAAGCCGAUGAUGGCCUGGGGUUGUCAAGCUUCACUAACUUUUACUUUUUUUUUUUUCCUUUUUGAGAAGUAACAACAGAACAGUUUCUCUCUGCCCUUGGGGGACUGAUUGCUGUUUUGUAUUUGCUGUUUUUUUAAUAAUAAGUUGACAGAAAGUGUGAGGAAUGACAGUCGUGGUUCAUCAGGAGACAGGAGGACAUUUUCCUGGUGAUUCAUCCUCUUCACAUGAGAUGUGUUAGCAAAUACCUUGAAACCUCCAUUUACAACUCACUUAAGAAAAUGACAGUACACAAAAGACCAAAGCAUCUCCAAGAAAUCAUUCCCAGAUCAAAAGUGAUGUUGAGUUUUUUUAUUUACUUCAAGCUCUUAAAAUGCCCUGAACAGGUGCGGGUGUGUGAAGGAAAACUCAGAUGAAUAUAUAAAAAAGCUGUUUAUUUUGAUCCAUACGUCUCAUAUGCAUAUGUAUUUAUCCAUACAUAUGCAUAAUAUAUUUUAACAAAAUCCACCCUAUCCCCCAGAAAUAUAAAAGAAAAUCGUGUAGCCGGUAAAUGGUAAAAUAUAAAAAACAACAGUGUAUUUAUUCUUCCCUGAUACUCAUCAUCCUUAUUCUAGUAAAGGAUAUGAAUUAUUCAUUUCUAAGCACAAUAGGAAAACUUUAGUACUGUUUAAUGACUCAAAUGGCCCAUUAAUGAAAGAUUUGUGAGUCAGGUCCAGAGUAAUGAGGAACAUUUUUACAAAAACAAGUAUUAAGUUUGAGAAGUAGUCAUAACUUCUUAUUCAGAGUAUGGCAUCCUGAGUCUUUGGAACAGUUGCUAGAGAAAAUGUAAAAGCAACCACAGAACUUUCUUUUUGUAAGAUAAAAGUCACUGUGUAAAUUAGGUCAGCUGUAUUCCUAAUAGCAAAGAAAAUUACUAGCAGAAUGACAGGCAUACUGAGAGGAAAACAAAAAGGGGGAAGGAAAAAGGAAAGAAAAUAAUUUGGAAAAUUAAGGUUAAAUCUCAUGAUUCAGGGCAACAGAGGUCAAUCGAUAAAAAAGAACACAACACAUUAAGUCACACAAUUCCUUCCCUGCCUAAUGCUCACUUUAAUUAUAUGCUGAUACUAUUACAAGCUAGAAAAACUCACUGGACGUGGAAACAAAUUUUCUCCUGUGUAAUUACAUGGUCCUUUUCUCCAGUUAUCUAUGCAGAGUUCUUCAUGAUGGUAAACAUCCUGAAUUGCAUGACUAAAUCUUGUUGAUGAAUACUGAAUUACAGGAUUGGUAUAGUUUAAUUCCCGUUCAGAUGAACAUUAACUCCGAGGAAUUAUACGGUCAGUACUUGCCAAUUUAAUAACUGCCUGAUUUUAGUGGUCUGCUAAGAACAACAUUAUAAAUAUAAUAGUUAUAUCCAUUAACAUUAAUGAACAUAUUAGGUCCAUACUUCUUUCCCUGGCUAUCUCUUUCCAGUCUGUAGUACAGCUGCUAAUCUUAUCCAACAGGUCUUCGCAAGCAUCAUCUCAAGACUGACUGCUUCCACCACUCCCUGAGAGGCAACACAGAGGCCUGUGGGAAGCCCAGAUGCCGUGAGCAGGGAGUUAUAUGGCCACUGUGUCCAAGUGGCUUUCCAGGAUACCAGAGGGCAAUGGGGUAUGAGAUGGAGGUGGGAGGCUGACCUCCGAUCACCUCUGGACCCGGGUUGAUCCAUACCCAAGGGCCAGAUUUAGCCAGUAUUCAAGGCCAGUGUGAAAGGAUUUUGAGCUGACAUUAAAAUCAAUUCUAAAUAUUAAGACAAUUCUAAGAUUUACACAUCCUUCUUUACCCUUCCCUUUUCUGUAUGAACAGCGACACUUCAACAGAAAAUUUCCUUAUAUCUACCAGAAGAAAAACAGUAUAAUUUUCAUUCUUUCCUUCCUCUCCUCUCCUCUCCUCUCCUCUCCUCUCCUCUCCUCUCCUCUCCUCUCCUCUCCUCUCCUCUCCUCUCCUCUCCUCUCCUCUCCUCUCCUCUCCUCUCCUCUCCUCUCCUCUCCUCUCCUCUCCUCUCCUCUCCUCUUUCUUCUCUUCACUUCUUCUUUAACCUGGAAAAAUCACCAUUUAUAGUAAUAAUUUCUUCCAUCAUUGAGCAUAAUGUUCUUUCAGAUAGGAUACAAUCUUCCAUCAUUUGCUUUACAAAAACUGUAAUUCUAAUGAUAAGGUAAUGUUCUAAUUAAGUACAAUACUAAUUAAUGUAUUAGCCUUAUCUGAUUAAUGCAUGAAAUAUCAUCCAGUAUAUGGUUUUAAAUUCCUAAUCUGUUCUUACUUAAAGCUAUGUAAACCUACAGUUUGAUAAACUUGGAGGCAUUUUCCAUUUGAUGGGAAAAAGAAGAAAUUAAGCUGCAUUUUCACAAGGCAAAAUACCACAUAAAGAGAAUUUCUUGUCCUGUAUUUUGUAUUUUUUUGUCAGUGUUUUAGCACCCUGUAAUAUAAAAGCUACUGAAUUUUCACUAUGACUAUACUCUGGAAAAGGAACAGAUAAGAUGAUAAAAAUCUUACCUACAAACAAGUACAGUGUAGUGACUGUUACUCCAAAAAGAGCUCGGAAGGCUUGAUAUGGUUUUCCUAUGCAAAAAAAAAAAUCUAGUUUUGUCGCAGCCCAAUUAACAUCUCUGCCACUAUUGUUGCAAAACAAAAGAAUUGAUUGGUACAGGUGAUCAUUAGGGUUCUGCAAAUUAAUAUAUGAGAGAUAUCAAAGAGCAAUCAACAUGAAGUAAAUGUUUCUGGAUCAGAACAUUUCUGAUUGCAUUCUCUGAAAAAUACUGAAGUCAGUCAGUGAAUUGGGAAAUUUUGUGACAAGCAUUCUGCAUCUCAGUAGACCGAAAAAUUAACAUCAACAUUAUGGAGAUGGUCAUAGUGCAAUUGCACUGAAGAAGUUAACCUGGUAUUAAAGAAAGCAAAUUCAAUCUAAAAUUACAUUGUACCCCUGUGUCCUCUCAUUUAUUAUUAUUAUUUUUUAAUGUGAUGGUGCAAACAUAGUCCGCAAAACCUCCUGUCAUUUUUCAGGAACUGCAGAAGUAUGGUACAACUUUUUUUUCUCUUCUCCCCAGAAUCAGAUGCGAGUAUAUGACCCUGGGGAAAGAUUUAUGUUGCCAUUAUUUUUUUCAGAUCACAAUCACCAUAUAUGUUCACUUACAAGAUGUAUUAAUUUGCAACUGUGCCACUCCCUUGCUGAAAACAAUAGAACCAUUUAUGAAAAAUAAAGAACAUUCAGAGGAAUGCUUGUGCGAGUGUGAUGCAUACAGAGGAAUCUCAUCACUGUAUUUUCUUUGUCCACUCUGAGCAAGAAAAGGAACAUGUCUCUUUUAUAGUCUGGAAAAAGCAUUUUUCAGGAGAAGCAGUACUUGUGAACUUCAUUGACACAAUCUUAACAAUUCAUAAAAAUGUCUAUAAUACUUGUGCAGAAAUAGCAAUGCAGUGUUGGGCUAAAAUUAAAGAGAGAUCUUAGUGCUGUUCAAGAUGACAUUUUUUAUCUCUGAAGAUGCCAAAUUAGCUUUGAGAUACAGACAAUAGCAGACAGUGGCUUGUGGGAAAGAAAACAUUUUACAGAGCUAUUCUUACCUUGAGAAGUGACUGUAAUAUUUAUUGUGCCUGGCAUAACAUUCAAACUGAAGAAAUCUGGAAAAUAAAAAUAUGAAAAACUCGUUCUCUCUCUCUUUUUUUACCUAUCACACCUCUUCCAAUAAUCCUAAGAAUAAUUUACCUGUUCCCUAAAGUCUUCAAAGAAAAAACAAUUUAUUGCCACGGAAAUUGAUGCACCUGUAAUCUGAAAACUCCUAUGCUAUAUUUCUACUUAAAUCCCUACCUCUGCAAAGGCAUCCAUGGUGUGCCAUACAUACAAAACUAAUUCUAAAUCUUAAAAGACACACUACAGAUAAAUCAAGUAUGUUUGUCCCUGUGCCUUUCAGUCUUAAAUUGUCUUUAAUUAAUUUAUGAAGUCUAAGGCAUACAUAUAUGUGAAUAUAUAUGGAAAGGACUAAUUCAAACUACCUGCUGGAUCAUAACAAGCAGAACUGUAGCUACAAUUCAGGCUCUCCCAUGAACCAUUUACUCUCUCUUUAUCUACAGUUUUCUUGUUCAUUUUCAAAGAGUGAAGUUAUCUGUGUUCAUCCAGAACUUCCAUUUAUUCAUUUGAACCAUUUCUAGUGCAUGGGAGAACACAACACAGCUUGUUCUCCUGGCUACGCUGUCUUUACCAUCUUCCUGUUGUACUGUAAACUGCAUUUAAGUGCUUUCUAUUUUGGAAAGCAAUGUAAAAUGUGAUAUAUUAAAAAAAAAAAAAAAAAGGAGAGAGCUUUAAACACUACUAACAAAAGAUUAUAUUGAAAUGGCUUCACAUUGAUUCUUAUCUUGGUUAGGUCAAUUUUAGUAUGCAAUCUGUGAUAUGGGCAACAGAUCUCAACUCCAUACAAUAAACAAAAAUUUACUCUGUCCAAGAAUUAUUUGGAGGUAAAAGUACAAGCUAGGAAGUAAAUAGAGAAAUAAACAUAAGUUGGACAAAUUCUUUAGAACUUGUGAAACCUUGCUCCCAUACUGAAUUUACUGUGAUCAAAAACAAACUAAAUAAGGAUGCUUAUUUUUUAACUUCUGCAUUAUUGACCAUGACUAAUCCUUCUAAACUUUCAGAUACAAGGUAAAAUAUAUAAUGAAAAACAGUGGUGAAAAAAAACCCACACCACUACAAGAAAAAUAUUUUCUACCUAUAGUACCUUAAUACUGCAGCUGCAUGCACAUAAUCCCCAUGCAGUUUAUCUGCCUAGUAAAACUUCCUCGAAGGAAAAUUCUACCCAGACACUCUGAACACAAUAGUAAAAUGUGUGAAGAGUAGAAC